AUGCAAGCUCAAUGUCCACAUGGC
rnacentral:siRNA from 1 species